rnacentral:lncRNA from 1 species
GUGAUGUUGCACAACAAGCUCUAACUUCAUUGGAGGAGGAAUCUGAGCUUGGUGUCAUUUUAAUUGCAUUGCUUAAAACAUCUGAUGUUAAUUGACUACAAUGCUCUCUGCAAAACCAUAUGCAGCACCAGAAGAUAAUGAUGUUUGGUUCACUGCCUGCUUUACCGCUUUACCUAUGGUCAUUACACACGAGUCCGUUGCUUUGGUGGGAGAGAACAGAGUGCUUCAGUAGUUGUGCACCUGAGGCUGUCAGGAUUUCCUCAGCCAUCUUCCUACGUAGUGCCUCCAUAUUGGUCACAGAAGUAUUGAUGUCCAACUGGGAUGGAACUUUUGGGAAACUAGAGACAACCUCCUUUGCCAUUUUUGAACAAUAG